AGCUGUUUCAGUACAGCACUACAGGGAGAGACGGGUAGAGGGCAAACUCCACUAAACCCGUUUCAGUGUGUGGAAUCACUCGGGAGUUUCUGGAAGACGGCGAUUAUUGGAGGAUUUAUUUUAGUCUGGCCAGCACCGGACACAUGCAGCAGUGUUAUACCUCUCUUUUGGAUGAGGGUGACAUAUGGCUGGUGGACAUGGGAUCCAGAGUGACAGCUUCCUGUUUACAAGCUGCCCAGAGACUUCUGUAGUAGCAGGGGGUGUGUUAGAGAGACACUGCUUGGGCUGUUUUGAAGAGAACAGGGGACCUUGGGUACGACACAAUCUUGUUCCUUUUGGAUCUGGAGCAGAUCGAUAUGUCAGCCAUAACUCCGUUCUACCGCACCCGUGCGUAGAUGGACAAUGGAGGAUCCAUUGUUUUAUAACCCACUUAUCUGGACCAGAGUCCUGGCCUCUACCACCUUUGUGGGCCAGGCUUGUAAGAGUUGAGUUCACUAAGUUGGGUGACCUGCAAGAAGAGGCUUGGUGGAAAUCUGCCAGCAACAUGGUGGAGGUUUUCUCCAUAAAGUCCACCAGGCUGCUGCAGCAGGUGGUGGAAGGGGUCCGUGCUGCACCACCGAGAGCUGCUGCGGAGUAGGCGGUCCGAGGAGCCACCACGCCGGACACCGAGUGACCGACCACUUACCUGAGAGGCCUAUCAGUUGUAUUUGUCCCAUACCCGAUCCCCCAACGUUCAUGAAAGAACAACUUUUGUUUGAGCACCAGAAAUCGGUCUCCCACUGUCUUAUUUUAUUAUAGAAUCACCAAACCACACAGUGGAGGGUCCAAUUAUCAAGCGUACAACAAUAUCAGUGGAAAUAUUGACUCAGGGAAGCAAAAACAGUCUGGACUCUUGUUCCGUAAUGGAAAUGUAGGUAACCCUUCAUUUUACAGCCCGGAAAUUACAAGGUAAUAACUAGAGCGACAUACAGGAGCAGUUGGGUUUAAGUGCCAUGCUCAAGGGUACAGACAGAUUUUCCACCUACUCGGCUAAGGGAUUUGAACCAGUGACCACUCUAGUUAUGAGCCCAAUGCUCUUAACCACUAGUCUGCAAGGUCUUGUCUCAUUGCUGCAACUCCCCAACGGGCUCGGGAGAGGUGAACGUCGAGUCUUGUGUCCCCCGAAACAUGACCUGCCUAACCGCACUUCUUAACACGUGCCCGCUUAAACUACACCAAUGUGUGAGAGGAAACACUGUGCAACUGACGAACAUAGUCAGCCUGCAGAAACCCAGCCUGCCACAAGGAGACGCAAGAGUGCGAUGAGCCAAGUAAAAACCUCCCUGGCUAAACAUUCCCCUAACCCAGACGACGCUUGCUCAAUUGUGCAUCGCCCUGUGGGACUCCCGGUCAAGGCCGGUUGUGACAUUGGCUGGGAUUGAACACAGUGAAAACUGGCUCUAACCAGAAUAGAAAGAGGAGUGGGAGACCCCAGUAAACAACUGAGCAAGAGAACAAGUACAUUAGAGUGUCUAGUUUGAAAAACAGACACCUCACAAGUCCUCAACUGGCAGCUUCAUUAAAUAAUACCCGCAAAACACCAGUCUCAUCGUCAACAGUGAAGAGGCGACUCCCGGGAUGCCGGCCUUCUAGGCAGAGUUCCUCUGUCCAGUGUCUGUGUUAUUUUGCCCAUCUUUUAUAAGAUAUGUCUAAGAUCUUUUAUUUUUAUUGGCCAGGUCUGAGAUAAGGCUUUUUCUUUGAAACUCUGCCUGGAAGGCCAGCAUCCUGGAAUACGAUAGAUACUCAAAGGCGUCGACUGCAUUCCUAAGGUGGAGACGAGGUUGGAAAUAGUGUGUGGGGUUGUUGCAUUUUACAGUUAUUACAUUUUACUGUUGUUAUUACAUUUUACUGUUGUUAUUACAUUUUACUGUUGUUAUUACAUUUUACUGUUGUUAUUGCAUUUUACUGUUGUUAAUACAUUUUACUGUUGUUAAUACAUUUUACUGUUGUUAAUACAUUUUACUGUUGUUAUUACAUUUUACUGUUGUUAUUGCAUUUUACUGUUGUUAAUACAUUUUACUGUUGUUAUUACAUUUUACUGUUGCUAUUGCAUUUUACUGUUGUUAAUACAUUUUACUGUUGUUAUUGCAUUUUACUGUUGUUAUUACAAUGUAUAUGGCCCUAAUGGCACCCUAUUCCCUAUAUAGUACACUGGCCCUGGUCAAAAUUUGUGCACUACAUAUAGGGAAUAGGGUGCCAUAGGGCUCUGGUCAAAAGUAGUGCACUAUAUAGGGAAUAGGGUGCCAUAGGGACCCCUGGUUCCAAUCCAUGCAACAGAUGGGAGGAAUAUGACAAUUUAAUGUGGAAUUGGCAUGAUCAACUCAAUAGUCGGUAGUAAUAUAAAUUAUUCAGUUACAGGGUUCAAAAGGUGAAAAGGAAGAACUGUACUCACUGAAAUAAAAUACAUUUUCAUGAA
rnacentral:lncRNA from 1 species